GCUGGACAUGACGAAGCCGCGGUAGUGGGAGAAGGGCCAGAGGCCGUGGCCGAAGUCGCCGCUCCCGGCGCGGGGGCUGCAGCCGGGGGAAGAGGAAGAGGAGGAGGAGGAGGAGUGUUUUGGGGCCAGGGGGUGGGCGUGGGAGGCGGUGAGGUCGACGGUGAACUUACCGCCCUUGGCGGCGCUGAGGGAGGACUCGGCGAGGGGGAUGGCGACGCUCAUGGAGGUGUCGGGGAGGAGGAGCUCGAAGCGGUAGCCGAGGGCGUCGGAGGAGGAGGCGCCGCCGCCGCCGCCGCGGUCGCGCCAGGCCUCGAGGCGGCCCCAGGGCUUCCAGGUGCCGUCGCCGGGGCGGAGGAUGAGCCACGCGCCCGGGUUGGAGCGGCUCACCCGGUCCGUCCCGGGGGACGCCACGAACGGGGUCACCAUCGACGCCACCGCCACGGGCGACCCGGACAGGUCGUGCACCGUCACCGACCACCCCUUCCGCUCCUUCGCCGGCCGCUCCCGCUCCCGCUCCCGCUCCGACCCGAACGACGCCAGCCACCCCCUCGCCUCCGACUGCACCACCGAUCUGUCCGAGCAAAUCGACAAUAAUCAAUUACUCACCCAUCCAUCCAUCCAUCCAUCCAUCCAGCUGCAGGGGUUGGUGUUUUGAAUAUAUUCUUCGAAUGCAGAUCGAUUGAUUGUACCUACCUGGAGCGCAGGUGGCAGUCGCUAGGGUUUCGGAAGCUGAACUUGCAGGUGAAGACGGGCUGGCGCAUGGAGCCCUGGAGCUGGAAGACCUGGGGGCUGCACUCGGGCUCGCCUUCGAACUCGAAGACGAAGCGCGGGUCGGGCUCGGAGCGGACGGUGAGGUGGAUCAGCGCCGAGGGGGCCGCGCCCUUGGCGUCCUUGCCCACGGCGAUCCACCCGUUGUGGUGGACCGCGGCGCGCGCCUCCGCGCCCUUGAGGUCCAGCCGCAGCGUCACCUUCCCGAGGAGGCGCCCGGAGCUCAUCCCGCACGUGGUGCCCCGCCGCCCCGUGUAGAUCGCCACCUUCAGCCGCGCCGAGCGCCCGGAGAAGAGCGACGGCUUCGCCGCGAUGCGGUCGAGCUCCGCCUUCGAGAGGUGGAACGCCGCCGCGAGCGCCGCUGCCCCCUGCGGAGGAGGAGGGCUCCGCGGACGGGACGAGCGGGGCGACGGCGGUUUGGUAGGGGAGCUUGUUGAGGCGGAUCUUGCAGUAGCAGGGCGCGGCGGAGGGGUGGACGCCGGCGCCGGCGGGCCGCGCCGCCACCGGGAUCUUCAGGGCCAGGUUCCCCACCAGGACCCGCACGAAGGGACACGGGUCCAU
rnacentral:lncRNA from 1 species